rnacentral:rRNA from 1 species
UACAGAGGUUGCAAGCGUUAUCCGGAUUUAUUGGGCGUAAAGCGUUUCGUAGGCGGAUUUGUAAGUUACUCUUCAAAUACUCCGGCUCAACCGGAGGAAGGGGGGUAAUACUGCAAGUCUUUGACUAUUGGUGGGGUUUCCGGAACUGAUGGUGUAGUAGUGAAAUACGUUGAUAUCAUCAGGAACUCCGAGGGCGAAGGCAGGAAACUGACCAGUGAGUAACGCUGAGGAACGACAGCUAGGGGAGCGA